rfam:Picea glauca, whole genome shotgun sequence.
GUAACGGUGUCUUUAGACACCACCCUAUGUCUUUGAAAUUUUUGU